rnacentral:rRNA from 1 species
UACAGAGGUCCCAAGCGUUGUUCGGAUUCACUGGGCGUAAAGGGUGCGUAGGUGGUGGGGUAAGUCGGAUGUGAAAUCUCGGAGCUCAACUCCGAAAUGGCAUUGGAAACUGCCCUGCUUGAGGUUCGGAGGGGGGACUGGAAUACUUGGUGUAGCAGUGAAAUGCGUAGAUAUCAAGUGGAACACCAGUGGCGAAGGCGAGUCCCUGGACGAUACCUGACACUGAGGCACGAAAGCUAGGGGAGCAAACAGG